GUAAUCUGAGGAGGUGGGGGAAGCAGAAGGCUAAAAUGAACCCACCGAGCCUCCCCUCUGCAUAGUUCCUUCCUCUUGAGUGUAGGCAGAACCUGUGGAUAAGAUGGGUCAGAACUGUCCUAAUCAGGUUAUGCUAUAUGGCAAAAGGUUGUGCACGUUCAUUAAGGCUGCCUGUCAGCUGACUUUGAGUUCAUCAGUAGGGAAAAUAUCUAGGUGGGCCUAAUCACAGGGCCCACCUUUACAUCUGCAGGGGGAGGUCAAAGAGAAGUCAGAGAUUGGAAGAAUCAGAGAGGUUGGACAUGAAAGACACUCUCCUUGCUGGCUUCGAGGUUGAAGAAAGCGUGCGAGAAGGAACAAGUGGCCUUAGGAGUUGACAGCUAGCAACAGAAUGGGGUCUCCACACUACAACCUCAAGGAACUACAUUCUCCCAACAACCAUAUGCGCUUGAAAGUUCUGAGCCCCAGAAAGGAACUCAGCCCAGCUGACACCCUGACUGCAACUUUGUGAAACUCUGAGCAGAGAACCCAGCUCACUAUGCCUAGACUUCCAACCUACAGAAACCAGGAGAUGGUAAUUAGGGGUGGUUUAAAACUGCUUAGCUUGUGUUAAUUGGGUUACACAGCCAUAGAAUAUAGAAGGCUGAUGAAUCAGAAUUGAAAGCCAAGGCUGUCAGGACUAAAGCUGAGCUCCUCCCAUGGCAGUAGCUACCUCCUCUCCCUCUGCUCUGUCAGGGAGAGAGAAAGCAAGAAGAGUUUAUUGGGCAUUUGAACACUGCAAGUGUUUAUUGAGAGGCUGGAUUAGAUGGUGGUUUUACGAAAUGAUAAGACUCAACAACAUCCCUCAAGGGGCUCACUGGCUAGCAUGAAAGACAAACGAGAGGCAGAUGGUGGAAGUGUUGGGGGACUGCCUGUGGCAGAUAGGUGGCAAUACUCUGUGAGAGUUGGCCUCGGAGAAGGCUCCAAAGGAAAGGACACUUUGAGCUUGAACUUGAAGACUGAAUUGGAGGCUACAGGGGACAAAGUGGGACAUGCGUAUCUGAAACGGGUCAAAACCAGACUCUGCAAACCUAGUAAAACAAAUCAGAAAGGUGGUCUUCUUCCUUACUUGGAUCAGGCAGCUGAGCCAGGGGAACAAGGAAUUCCAGAGAUGACAUGA
rnacentral:lncRNA from 9 species